UACAGAGGUCCCAAGCGUUGUUCGGAUUCACUGGGCGUAAAGGGUGCGUAGGUGGCCAGGUAAGUUCGGUGUGAAAGCUCGGAGCUUAACUCCGAAAUGGCAUUGAAUACUAUCUGGCUAGAGGGUCGGAGGGGAGACUGGAAUUCUCGGUGUAGCAGUGAAAUGCGUAGAUAUCGAGAGGAACACCAGUGGCGAAGGCGGGUCUCUGGGCCGAUACUGACGCUGAGGAGCGAAAGCGUGGGGAGCGAACAGG
rnacentral:rRNA from 1 species